AAAAAUAAUUUUUCCUUAAAAUGAUAAAAAUUCCUAGUUACUAAGCUAAGGUGCUUUCGCACUCCUCGAAUAAUUAAAACUAAUCAAGUUUGUUUUAGAAAACUCAAGUUAAAAAUCAAAACAGCUUUUAAAGUAUUUCUACAGAUUCAAUAUGUGAAACAUUACUUUAACCGCGAUCCUUACAUUCUAACCUUUAAAAGAUUUAGCCAGACAUGGUAACACAAACAAACACAACGGUAUUAAUGAUGAAAAAUUUGUUUUAGAAUGUGAGGCGUAGAGAGCGAGUAAAGUGCGGAAAAUAUAUAAAGUAAAGCGAUUGCGG
rnacentral:lncRNA from 1 species